GGAUUAGAUACCCUGGUAGUCCACGCCGUAAACGUUGGGCGCUAGGUGUGGGGUGCUGUUCACGUGUCCCGUGCCGUAGCUAACGCAUUAAGCGCCCCGCCUGGGGAGUACGGCCGCAAGGCUAAAACUCAAAGGAAUUGACGGGGGCCCGCACAAGCGGCGGAGCAUGUGGAUUAAUUCGAUGCAACGCGAAGAACCUUACCUGGGCUUGACAUGCACCGGAUCGGCGUAGAGAUACGUCUUCCCUUGUGGCUGGUGCACAGGUGGUGCAUGGCUGUCGUCAGCUCGUGCCG
rnacentral:rRNA from 1 species